AUACAGAGGGGGGGAGAGGGGGAGAGGGAGAGAGAGAGAGCUGGCUUUGUACUGGGAGAAUGUUAUAAUUUGAGAGCUAAAAUAUAAAAAUGCUGGCAACAGCGAAGAAAGUCUCCCUCCCAUCCCACUCCAUAGUCCAUGCAACUGCGUCGAAAUCGGCUUGGUGAGGAAUAGUAAUGGCGUGGCCAGCUGUACUCGUUAUUGUCCCUGUUGGAAUCAUUUUCAUACUCUCUGGUCUCAUUGUUAAUCUCAUCCAGGCAGUUCUUUUCAUCCUUGUUCGUCCCGUGUCCAAGAGUCUGCACAGAAGGAUCAACAAAAUAGUUGCAGAAUUGCUUUGGUUGGAGCUCAUAGUGCUCGUUGAUUGGUGGGCAAAUCUGAAGAUUGAAGUGUAUGCAGAUGAUGAAACUUUUGAAUUGCUAGGUAAAGAACAUGCGCUUGUCAUUAGCAAUCACAACAGUGACCUUGAUUGGCUUGUCGGAUGGAUCUUAGCUCAGCGCUCAGGUUGCCUUGGCAGUGCACUGGCUGUAAUGAAGAAAGAAGCUAAAGUCCUGCCUAUUAUUGGCUGGUCAAUGUGGUUUUCUGAUUAUGUGUUUCUGGAAAGAAGCUGGGGUAAGGAUGAAAGAAUAUUGCAGUCAGGUUUUGAACGGCUAGCAGAUUUUCCGAUGCCUUUUUGGCUGGCUCUUUUUGUGGAGGGAACUCGCUUCACACAGGCUAAACUUCUAGCGGCACAGGAAUUUGCUGCUUCCAGAGGAAUUCCUGUUCCUAGAAAUGUUUUGAUUCCACGUACCAAGGGUUUCGUGUCAGCAGUAACUCAUUUGCGUUCAUUUGUUCCAGCAAUUUAUGAUGCAACAGUGGCUGUUGCGAAUAGUCAGCCUGCACCAACAUUCCUAAGAAUAUUCAGGGGUCAAUCCUCUGUGAUAAAGGUGCUUUUGGAGCGACAUUCAAUGCAGGAACUUCCAGAAACAGCCGAUGGAAUAGCUCAAUGGUGCAAAGAUGCAUUUGUCACCAAGGAUGCUGUGUUGGAGAAAUAUUUUUCCAAGGACAUCUUCCGUGAUAAGAAACUUCAAGACAUUGGCCGACCUAAAAAGUCUUUGUUUGUUAUGAUUUUCUGGUCAAGUCUGCUUGCCUAUGCCACUGUCAGGUUAUUCCAAUGGCUGUCAUUAUUCCUAGCCUCAUGGGAAGUCAUUACAUUUUCAAUUGCUUUCUUGUUCCUCGUGACAAUUAUUAUGCAAAUUCUUAUUCAAUCAUCGGAGUCAGAGCGCUCUACACCUGCAACCAAUUUCACAUUAUCGGAAGGAACGAGGCAGAGGCUCCUUCCAAGAUAAUUGUUGGAUGUGGAGCCUGUCACUGAAAAAAAAUAAUGAAAGAAAACAAAGACGGGAAAAGUGAUUUCAUCUGCUCAGAAAUGAUCUGUUGCCGUGUAUGGUAACUUGAUUAUGGACUUGGUUCAACUCUUUCCAUGUCCACUUGAAAGCUUGUUUGUGAAGUAAUGGGGAAAGCUUGUCGACAGUAUUUGGAACCCUGUUUUAUUAAUGGUAAAGUUGUUACUUCUGAUAUUAUAUAUGGUUACUACAGCAGAUCUUCUUGCUGUUCCAUAUAUUCACGUAAUAGGCUAAGUCUCUCGUUAAUGAAAAGCUUGUGUGAAGAUAGAUUUUAACAA